rnacentral:rRNA from 1 species
GUACACUCCUGCGGGAGGCAGCAGUGGGGAAUAUUGGGCAAUGGGCGCAAGCCUGAUCCAGCCAUGCCGCGUGAGUGAUGAAGGCCCUAGGGUUGUAAAGCUCUUUCACCGGUGAAGAUAAUGACGGUAACCGGAGAAGAAGCCCCGGCUAACUUCGUGCCAGCAGCCGCGGUAAUACGAAGGGGGCUAGCGUUGUUCGGAUUUACUGGGCGUAAAGCGCACGUAGGCGGACUAUUAAGUCAGGGGUGAAAUCCCGGGGCUCAACCCCGGAACUGCCUUUGAUACUGGUAGUCUUGAGUUCGAGAGAGGUGAGUGGAAUUCCGAGUGUAGAGGUGAAAUUCGUAGAUAUUCGGAGGAACACCAGUGGCGAAGGCGGCUCACUGGCUCGAUACUGACGCUGAGGUGCGAAAGCGUGGGGAGCAAACAGGAUUAGAAACCCUAGUAGUCCCA